rnacentral:rRNA from 1 species
UGCGUAGGCGGUUUGGUAAGUCAGAUGUGAAAUUCCUGGGCUCAACCGAGGAACUGCAUUUGAUACUGCCAGACUAGAGUACCGGAGAGGAGACUGGAAUUCACGGUGUAGCAGUGAAAUGCGUAGAUAUCGUGAGGAAGGCCAGUGGCGAAGGCGAGUCUCUGGACAGUAACUGACGCUGAGGCACGAAGGCCAGGGGAGCAAACG